rnacentral:lncRNA from 1 species
CCUGCCCCCGCCGUGCCCACUGGUCCUCUCCCGGUGUCUCCAGUUUCUUGCAGGAGCCUCCAGGUCAGCCUCUAGGUCAGCCUCCGGGACCCCCUGGGGAGCAAGCCUGGGUGACUGUCCUACCUCCCCGGCCCCCAGGCUGACCCCGAUGAUCAGGACUCCUCAGAGCCGGUGCCUUCCCAGAGCCCCAGCCCAGUGCGUCUGCCCAGCCACCCCCAGGCCUAGGCCUGCACUGCGGCACAGCAGGGAGGGCCUCAGGGAAUUAGGGGGAGGGGCUGUGGCGUCAGGAGGCCAGUGGGGUGACUCCCCCUAUGCUCAGUGCGGCCAACUGCUCUACCUGUGGCCGUCAUGUCCUGAAGCUGGUGGCCCUACCCCAGCCAGCUGUCCUGCUUCCCCUAGAGGCCCUGUGGGCCAGAGGCUCCGAGGAGGGGGUCCCAGGGCCAUGUUACCGUGCUGACCCUGGCCUGGUCUAGGCGGUGGCCGCGUGGGCUGCGGCGCUAGGCUACAGGCCCCACUCGGGGCCUGUAGGGCUCGGCCCGACUCAGCCUAUGGGUCAGUACGGCAGCUCGUCCACAGAGUGGCCCCCGGAGAGCGGCCCUGUCUCCUCCAGGAGGCGCAGCCUAGCGUGGCAGUGUGGCAGAGGUGGGCAGGGAGCGGAGCGGCCGGCUGACGUCUCUGCGGCUGCCCAGUGGCUCCCGCGGCAGGCCCGGGGGUUGGUACCCACGAGGGCAGCCCCUCCUUGCAGGGCUGGGCCCCUCCAGCAAAGGGGCAGAAAGAAGCUGUGUCCCCGCGGCUCCCACGGGAACCCCUGUCAUUAGAGGGGCCUCGUGACAUGCCUGCCUCCGAGAGGCGCCGCUGCCUCUUACCCCCUCAGUACCCCCACAUCCUGGGCCCCCCACCCCGUGCCUCAUGCUGCUCGCUCCGUCAGCAAGGACUCACGGCACAGGCGGGCCCGGGCAGUGCAGCCGGAGGACUGGGCCAUGGCCUGGCUUAGCCCGGGCGGCUGUGAGCCUCAGGACAUAGCCGGGGGUGGGGUGGGGAGGGGAGCCUCUGCCCAGACAGGCUGUCGUGCCGGACGCUCAGCGCUGGGGUGAGCUGACAGGGUUAUGCCUCGUUAGGGGUGGCAUUGUGUCCCUCCCCCAUGCUCAUGUAUGAAGUCUUGACCCCUGAGCUCCUGAGAACAUGCCCUCAUAUCGAAGGUCGUUGCAGGUGUAAUCAGUUAAGAUGGGGCCUCCUGAAGUCCCGACUGCCGUCCUCACGAAAAGGGGAUUUUGGACAGACGCACAGAGGGAAGAUACCACCUGCAAACCAAGGCAGGGGGCCUGGAGCAGACCCUUCCCUUGUACCCUUCAAAAGGAAUCAACCCUGCCCAUGGCUGGACCGUGGGCUUCCAGACUCCAGAACUGUGAGUCAAUUUGUUUUUCCUUUCUUUUUUUUUUUUUUUUUUUAAUUUUUUUUUUCAACGUUUAUUUAUUUUUGGGACAGAGAGAGACAGAGCAUGAACGGGGGAGGGGCAGCGAGAGAAGGAGACACAGAAUCGGAAACAGGCUCCAGGCUCCGAGCCAUCAGCCCAGAGCCCGACGCGGGGCUCGAACUCACGGACCGCGAGAUCGUGACCUGGCUGAGGUCGGACGCUUAACCGACUGCGCCACCCAGGCGCCCCUGUUUUUUUUUUUUAAAUUGUUUUAAUGCUUAUUUAUUUUUGAGAGAAAGAGAGAGAGAGAGAGACAGAGAGAGCAAGUGGGGGAGGGGCAGAGAGAGAGGAAGACACAGAAUCCAAAGCAGGCUCCAGGCUCUGAGCCAUCAGCACACAGCUGGAUGCAGGGCUUGAACCCAUGGAUGACAAGAUUGUGACCCGAGCGGAAGUCGGAUGCUUAACCGACUGAGCCACCCUGGCGCCCCUCGUUUUUCAUUUCUGUUGCUUAAACCACUCAGCCUGUGCAAACGGAGAUAGUCCCCAGUUGUGAGAACCAAACCUGGCAGAGCAAGUGAAGACGGGGUCUGGGACUUCGGCACAGGGGGUGACCUGGAAGCCGCUCCUUGAGGCCCCGCUGCCCCUGUGCUACAGGACAGAUGAAGGGGGCGAGGGGAAGGUGCGGUCAGCGUGGACCCAUCUGGUGACUCCCAGGCUGGGCAUCGAGGGUGGAUUAAACUAGGCAAGAUGCCUGACCUGUACUUCAGAAUUAAAUUUCUUUGCAUCUUGCUCCAA